rnacentral:rRNA from 1 species
CCUACGGGGGGCUGCAGUGGGGAAUAUUGGACAAUGGGGGGAACCCUGAUCCAGCCAUGCCGCGUGUGUGAAGAAGGCCCUCGGGUUGUAAAGCACUUUCAGUGAGGAAGAACGCCUGGUGGUUAAUACCCAUCAGGAAAGACAUCACUCACAGAAGAAGCACCGGCUAACUCCGUGCCAGCAGCCGCGGUAAUACGGAGGGUGCGAGCGUUAAUCGGAAUUACUGGGCGUAAAGCGCGCGUAGGUGGCUUGAUAAGCCGGUUGUGAAAGCCCCGGGCUCAACCUGGGAACGGCAUCCGGAACUGUCAAGCUAGAGUGCAGGAGAGGAAGGUAGAAUUCCCGGUGUAGCGGUGAAAUGCGUAGAGAUCGGGAGGAAUACCAGUGGCGUAGGCGGCCUUCUGGACUGACACUGACACUGAGGUGCGAAAGCGUGGGUAGCAAACAGGAUUAGAUACCCCUGUAGUC